rnacentral:tRNA from 1 species
GGCUCUGUGGCGCAAUGGAUAGCACAUUGGACUUUUAGUGUAUUGAAGGCAUUCAAAGGUUGUGGGUUCGAGUCCCACCAGAGUCG